rnacentral:lncRNA from 1 species
GGAAGCAGGGAAGGAAUGUUUAGGCAGACUGCUACCAAACUUCACCUAAAUUCAGCUAUGCCCUGGUCUUCUCCCCGGGGGGGAAGACUGUCCUGAACAGAGAUGACAAGCAGAGGCAGGAUACAAAAUACACAGUUGGAAUCUGAAAAGGUAUCAGGGUGAAGUAGGUAACAUAAGGCUACCAGAGCAACCAAAUAAAACAUCCAUCAGGGCAGAAAGAGGCGGAUUCCCCAACAAGGGCCCCGCUGCCCUUUCCAGGAAUAUGAGGGGGGAAGCUUCUGCUAGAGGUUUCCUACUGUGCCUUUGGUGCCAUCACCACAUCCCAGAUGUUGUCCUCGGCAGAAACAAACACCGCUCCAGGAAUUCAAAACAAUGUGAAUUGUGACUCACCAAGUUUUGAUCCUAUUAUUCUGGCUCCAAUAUUCUCAUGAGUGUCAUUCUGAAAAUGUGUAUGCGAAACCCGUUGAACAGGAUGAUUAUGCACCCACAUUCAUCACAGAGCCCUGUGCAACACAAAUAGAGAGGACAAGAAAGAAAGGAGAGAAUGUCAUCCAUUUUUAAGGAUUAAAAAAACAUUCUAGUAGUGGAUAACGAGGGCUCCUAGAUGAAAGGAGUUGAGACCAGCCAGCUAAAGCCUCAAGUUAUACAAGAGAAAACUUCAAUGCAGAUGGGAGCCACUCUUCUCUGACAUAACAUCUCAAAGUCUCAAGAAGAUUAAAGAAAAGAUCCGAAAUCAUGAAGAUUAAUUGAAAGACUGUGUAAGAACCAAUUUUACUAUUCCCAGGCCACUCCUUUGCAUGGCUGCUGUUGACCCACAGACAUCAUCGUGAGGAUUGGGAGAAUAAUAUUUCCAAGUCUUAAUGGGCUAUAUUUCUGCCCAAAUAUAUUGCCUUUCCAGCCAGGUGAAUUUGUGUAAUGAACAAAUACAUGUCAGAUUUUAUCAUCUACCUUCAUGAAGGUAGUUAGAAAUUCAAGGGAAAGAAGUAGUCUUCUCCAAAGAAAAUAAACCAACAAAUUAGGGGAAACUUUGGGUAUAG